rnacentral:rRNA from 1 species
CCUCCAGACUCCUACGGGAGGCAGCAGUGGGGAAUAUUGCACAAUGGGGGAAACCCUGAUGCAGCAACGCCGCGUGAGUGAAGAAGUAUUUCGGUAUGUAAAGCUCUAUCAGCAGGGAAGAAAAUGACGGUACCUGAGUAAGAAGCCCCGGCUAACUACGUGCCAGCAGCCGCGGUAAUACGUAGGGGGCAAGCGUUAUCCGGAUUUACUGGGUGUAAAGGGAGCGUAGACGGCGAUACAAGUCUGAAGUGAAAGCCCGGGGCUCAACCCCGGGACUGCUUUGGAAACUGUGUUGCUGGAGUGCUGGAGAGGCAAGCGGAAUUUCUAGUGUAGCGGUGAAAUGCGUAGAUAUUAGGAGGAACACCAGUGGCGAAGGCGGCCUGCUGGACGACAACUGACGGUGAGGCGCGAAAGCGUGGGGAGCAAACAGGAUUAGAUACCCUGGUAA